UGGGGAAUUUUGGACAAUGGGCGAAAGCCUGAUCCAGCAAUGCCGCGUGUGUGAAGAAGGCCUUCGGGUUGUAAAGCACUUUUGUCCGGAAAGAAAUCCUUGGCUCUAAUACAGUCGGGGGAUGACGGUACCGGAAGAAUAAGCACCGGCUAACUACGUGCCAGCAGCCGCGGUAAUACGUAGGGUGCAAGCGUUAAUCGGAAUUACUGGGCGUAAAGCGUGCGCAGGCGGUUUGCUAAGACCGAUGUGAAAUCCCCGGGCUCAACCUGGGAACUGCAUUGGUGACUGGCAGGCUAGAGUAUGGCAGAGGGGGUAGAAUUCCACGUGUAGCAGUGAAAUGCGUAGAGAUGUGGAGGAAUACCGAUGGCGAAGGCAGCCCCCUGGGCCAAUACUGACGCUCAUGCACGAAAGCGUGGGGAGCAAACAGGAUUAGAUACCCUGGUAGUCCACGCCCUAAACGAUGUCAACUAGUUGUUGGGGAUUCAUUUCCUUAGUAACGUAGCUAACGCGUGAAGUUGACCGCCUGGGGAGUACGGUCGCAAGAUUAAAACUCAAAGGAAUUGACGGGGUCAUAGCUG
rnacentral:rRNA from 1 species